GACAUAAGGUUUCCACAUCCACGGUUCUUUAAGGGUGGAAAUAGAGUUGUAGUAUGAAAAUGACUAGCACCUAAUUAAUGUAUUUGCCCUUUUUAAGGUGAGUUGUGUUAAUAUAGGUUUAUGAAGGACUUUUCAUAAUGAAAA